rnacentral:rRNA from 1 species
UACGUAGGGUCCAAGCGUUAUCCGGAAUCACUGGGCGUAAAGCGUGCGUAGGUGGCGUGCUAAGUGUGAUGUUAAAUCGCGGGGCUCAACCCUGUCGAUGUGUCGCAUACUGGCAUGCUAGAGGGAAGCAGAGGCAAGUGGAAUUUGUAGUGUAGCAGUGAAAUGCGUAGAUAUUACAAGGAACACCAAUGGCGAAGGCAGCUUGCUGGGCUUCUUCUGACACUGAGGUACGAAAGCGUGGGGAGCGAACAGG